CAGUAGCGUAUAUUAAAGUUGUUGCAGUUAAAAUGCUCGUAGUUGAAGUUCGGAUGCAGCAGAGCUUGGAAACGCUGUUAUGGUGCUUCCGUUGCUUUUGCUUGUCCACAGUGCGUUGCAAGUACGUAUGUGCUUGUGCGUGCAUUUUACUUUGAGAAACAUAGGGUGUUCCACGCAUGUUACGGCAUGAAUAUUCCAGCAUGGGAUAAUCUGGUACGACUUCCAAUCUGCCAUUUUGGUUCGUAGGUUGGAAGUAAUGAUUAAUAGGGACUGUCGGGGGCAUUGGUAUUUGACUGUCAGAGGUGAAAUUCUUGGAUUUGUUGAGGACCAACCACUGCGAAAGCAUUUGUCAAGGAUGUCUCCAUUAA
rnacentral:rRNA from 1 species